rnacentral:rRNA from 1 species
UAUCUGGCCUGUAUUCAGCCGCUCGUUGUCGGCCCACCGUUGCUGCACUCCAGAUUGGGAAGGCGGCGUGGGCGCUGGCUGCGUGUGGUGCAUUUGCAGGUGGAGUGCGCUGAGGUGCUCGGCUCAGCGGCAUGAGCUCAGCUUUGAGGCCAACCGUGCAAACGGUCUGGUACCCGGGCUGGGGGAGUGUUGUUUGGGCUGGGUGUUCGCUUGUGGCUGUGGUUUCGGGCCCGGGUGGGUGCCGAGCUGGCGGUCGGUGGCGGUCGCUUGCGACACGUGCCAGCAGUCAGUUCGGUCCUGCUCGAGCUCUCAUUGUGGCCCGGCCUCGGUGUAAAAGCCGGUCAUCUGUCCGACCCGUCUUGAAACACGGACCAAGGAGUUUAGCGUGUGCGCGAGUCAUUGGGCGUUGAAAACCCAAAGGCGCAAUGAAAGUGAAGGUCUGCCUUGUGCAGCUGAUGUGUGAUCCCGGGCGCUGCGGCGCACGGGCGCAACAUAGUCCCGUCCCGACUGCAUGCAGUGGGGCGGAGACAGAGCGUACGCGCUGAG